rnacentral:rRNA from 1 species
GACGAACGCUGGCGGCGUGCUUAACACUGCAAGUCGGACCAAUUGGCGAACGGGUGAGUAAUACGUGGGUAACCUGCCCUCAUUUUUCCGAUAAGCCUUGGAAACGGGGUCUAAUCACGAAUAAAGGGGGCUGGUCUCGCGGCCUGUCAGCUUGUUGGUGGGGUGAUGUGCUACCAAGGGGGUGACGGGUAGCGGGCAUGAGAGGGUGGCCGGACACUGUGGGACGGAGAUACGGCCCAGAAUCGUACGGGAGGAAGCAGUGGGGGAUAUUGAACAAUGGGCGAAAGCCUGAUGCAGCGACGCUGAGUGGGGGAUGAAGGCUUUCGGGUUGUAAACCUCUGUCGGUAUCGAACGGGUAGGUGGAGAAGAAGCGCCGGCUAACUACGUGCCAGCAGCCGCGGUAAUAC